GCCACUCAGACGUAUCAAGAUGAUCUCGCAGGCUCAGCUUAUCUGGCUGUUAGUGCUCUGGAUCCAGGGCUCCAGUGGGCAGAUUGUGAUGACUCAGACUCCAGAAUCCCUGGCAGUGUUGCCAGGAGACAGAGUCACUAUCAACUGCAAAGCCAGUUCCAGCAUCACCGGUGGUAGCACUCACUACUUAAACUGGUACCAACAGAAAUCAGGACAAGCUCCGAAGCUAUUUAUCUACUAUGCUUCCACCCGUGCCACUGGGAUCCCAGACCGGUUCACAGGCAGUGGAUCUGGAACUGAUUUCACUCUCACAAUCAGCAACGUUAAAGCUGAAGAUGCUGGAGAUUAUUAUUGCCAGCAAGGCUAUAGCUCACCUCUCACAGUGAUACAGACCAAUACAAAAACCACCCUG